AGACAAAAGAAAUAUGGCGCACAUGGUUGCACAUGGUGGCAGCGUAGAUGACUGAAUUGCCAGUUUUUUCUAGGUUUUUAGGUUUUUCAAUAACUUCUGCUGAUGAGAUGCAGCAACAGCAGUAGAAGAUAGAAAUUAAAAAGAGGAAGAAAAUAUGCAUCAUCAGAGGGUGUAUUAACGAAAACAACAGGAUGUUCUCCUUCCCCUAAGAGAGAAAGGAUAAGAAGAGGAUGGCACAAUGGGUGGAAGUAUGUGACAACCCAAAGUCAGUGCUUCCACCUGAAAACUGAAAUUCUGAUGAUCUGUAGUAGCUAUUGUAUGCGUCUACUAAGUUGAGACUCGAGGUGUGAAACGCUUCUCCUACUCCUCACCUCGAACCCUCGCCUAGUAGUAGUAGUAGUAGUAGUUUCUACUAGUAGCUGUAACCUAGAGAGCGAAUAGCGAGAAUGCGUGUGGGUCAACUGUAUAAGUGUGGGUGUCUUAGCCUGGCCCAUUUGGCUUCGACCAAUCCUUAGUAGUCUCAACUUAGUGGACGCGUACAGUACUUUAAAGAAAAAUACUUCAUGAGGAAAAGAUUAACAACAUCAGCAGUUCCAACACUGAACUUACUUGAAUUUACAACUGAUGUCAAACCAUACGGAUUUUUGUUGAGGACUAGGAUUUAUACAGGUGUCUACGGGGUUUCGCGAAAGUGCAUCGGCGUUGGCGUUAACCUUUGCAGGCUUACAGUUCUGUUGCAACGAUCAAUUAAUAUUCCGCAGGAAAUCACUUAAAGUUUUGUUUAACUGUUGCUUUUUUCACACGUGUACGAUUCCAUCCGACGGCGACCCGUUGAUCAAGUUGACCUCAGUUCAUGGGAAAGGUCCUUAAGUACUCCGGCUCGAUGGUCUCUAGCUCCGCAACAGGUACUCCAAUAAAAUCCGUCUGCAAUCAGCUGCUUCAGGAAUGAUUCAAUGAUGAUGUGGAUGAGGUGCGCGUGAUUUCGGUGGAUGGCUUGCACGGCAGCCGAAAUCACCUGUCUCCGGCAUUUACCCUUCGCUCUUGGGGAAACCGCGCCAAAACCCAAGAGGGAGAAGUUGCACAAAACUUUGUCCACUUAUUUAUAAUGUUCAAUAAAAUAGUUUGUAAAAUA